CUAGAGCAAACUACGAAUGUUCAAAGUGUUUUCUACACUAGUUAUUGCAUUAAUAUGAGAGCCAUAGAUUCAGAUUCAUUUAUGAAUGGCACACCUCAAUUUAUUUUCAAGGAUUGCUAAUUGUAGACAUGCUUGGGGGUAGAUAUGUUAUACCUUUAGUCAUUUUGGAUAAAGGAGUUGGACCAGCAGCCAAGGAUACCACAUGCAAGUCAUGAGUAAAUCAUUCAACUGGGGACCAACGAUACAUUUCUUGCGGGUGUGUAAGUUGUCAAGCAGACUCCAGUCUUUGAAGCAAACAUUGGGUCGGCGUUGACAAUAUCUACCAACACAUUGGCGUAUUCUGGUCAGCCCAGAAACACAUGAAAGGGAGACAAGAUGAAAAGGAAAAGCCCAAACGAUAAAACAUCAUCACGCCACAGAUCUUAAGAUAUUCUCUUGAUCUAGCGUGGCUUCAAUAAUAGAACAGAUCCUCUUUAACCUUUGUCAAGAGAUAUAAUUCAAACAAUACAAAGGAUCAUGACUUGCACGCAAAAAGCCAACAUGUUGUCUGGUCAAAUUUGGCAGCAAUAAAAUUACAAAAUAAAAGGCACAAUUAUGAUGUGCAACUCGUAAUGCGAAGAUAGAAACAAGUAUCGAUAAAAAAAAUCAAAAGAAACUUACAUUGUAGUCGUUGAAUACACAAACUUCUGUUGAAAUAAUGGUUAGUCUUAAUUAAGUAGGAAGUGGUUUUAACACUCGAUGAACCAUAUAUAAGACAUUAACCGAAGCUUCGGCAGACUCGAUUGACCUCGCCGGAAAUUCGAGACUCGUCAGAAAUACAAACUUCGAACCCCGAAUUUUAAAGGCCUCAAUUCGACUCCAUCGUGGGGUGCUGUUUCGAGCUUCAAUUUAGAGGCUGCUCUUGCUGGAUUUUUGAGUUGAGAUGGUGGUGUUUUGGAGGUUGUUCGACUGCUUCUAAUGGCGGAGCUUGGGUGGUUGGUUUAAGCUGAUUUUUGGAGGAGGAAGAAGAAAGAGUUCAAGUCUUUUUUUUAUGGUGGUCGCGGCUGCUCUAGGUGUAGAUGUGUUAAUCAGAGACCAAAAGAGGCUGUGUAAUAGUUGUUCAAGGUGGUGGAUUUUUGGGGUAAGAGAGUUGGUUUGUUGUUGUUGCUAUAGCGAAGAAGAAGGAUCAAGCCCCAGGUCCCUUUCCCGUUUUUUGUGCAUAUUUGCCUUUUUCGUUUUUUUUGUGCAAAUCCCCUCU
rnacentral:lncRNA from 1 species